rnacentral:lncRNA from 1 species
CUCUCUGUUAGGGGGUUGGUAUUAUCAUCAUCUCUCUCUCUCUGUUAGGGGGUUGGUAUUAUCAUCAUCUCUCUCUGUUAGGGGGUUGGUAUUAUCAUCAUCUCUCUCUGUUAGGGGGGGUUGGUAUUAUCAUCAUCUCUCUCUUUUAGGGGGUUGGUAUUAUCAUCAUCUCUCUCUGUUAGGGGGUUGGUAUUAUCAUCAUCUCUCUCUGUUAGGUGGUUGGUAUUAUCAUCAUCUCUCUCUGUUAGGGGGUUGGUAUUAUCAUCUCUCUCUGUUAGGGGGUUGGUAUUAUUAUCUCUCUCUCUCUGUUAGGGGGUUGGUAUUAUCAUCAUCUCUCUCUCUGUUAGGGGGUUGGUAUUAUCAUCAUCUCUCUCUGUUAGGGGGUUGGUAUUAUCAUCAUCUCUCUCUCUGUUAGGGGGUUGGUAUUAUCAUCAUCUCUCUCUCUGUUAGGAGGUUGGUAUUAUUAUCAUCUCUCUCUGUUAGGGGGUUGGUAUUAUCAUCAUCUCUCUCUGUUAGGGGGUUGGUAUUAUCAUCUCUCUCUGUUA